GCGUGGUUACGUUAGGAGGCACGUGCAUUCUGCAGGCCAGAACAGAUCGCGUUUCACCUUGGAUUAGCUAGUUUACUGGGUUAUGGAUUAUUUUCGGAUUUUUGUUUACAUUCCAUCAAGAGCAUCAUAAGCCGCUGUUCUUCCAAGGCAACCAAAUCGGCUGCAGCUGAGAGAUGGUAGAGCUCUCUUGUGUCGCCAAUAUCAAGAGUGCUGAGGCUGCCAGUUCCUCUCGUCUACUGAGGUGUGAUGGUGUGAAAGAUGAACGAAAGUCUUACGGGUUUGGAACGAUG